CCUACGGGCGACAGCAGUGAGGAAUAUUGGUCAAUGGACGCAAGUCUGAACCAGCCAUGCCGCGUGCAGGAAGACGGCCCUAUGAGUUGUAAACUGCUUUUGUCCGAGGGUAAAUCCCGAUACGUGUAUCGGGCUGGAAGUAACGUACGAAUAAGGAUCGGCGAACUCCGUGCCCGCAGCCGCGGUAAUACGGAGGAUUCCAGCGUUAUCCGGAUUUAUUGGGUUUAAAGGGUGCGUAGGCGGUUCGAUAAGUUAGAGGUGAAAUCCCGGGGCUCAACUCCGGCACUGCCUCUGAUACUGUCGGGCUAGAGUUGAGGUGCGGAAGGCGGAAUGUAUGGUGUAGCGGUGAAAUGCAUAGAGAUCAUACAGAACACCGAUUGCGAAGGCAGCUUACCAAACUACGACUGACGUUGAGGCACGAAAGCGUGGGGAGCAAACAGGAUUAGAUACCCUGGUAGUC
rnacentral:rRNA from 1 species